rnacentral:lncRNA from 1 species
GGGAGGAAGGGGCGGCUUCCGGAAUCUGGCGCGGCCUUUGUCUCACUUCAGCCAGAGAGCGGGGUUAGGGCUUCAUUGCCUUGUGUCCUCUGCUCCGGGAGACUUCGGUGAUUCUGCCACUCCCUCCGUCGCUCUGUGACCUGCUGGCAUUGAAUGAUUUAUAGCUAAGACUCCAGGACACCCCUGAAGCCGAGAAAUGGAACUGCUGGGCCCACCUGGGCUGCACUCCUCGGGAAGCAGGAGCAGCAGAAACUCAGACCCAGCCAACCCUCUGCACCCAGGUGCCACUUCCUGUUCCGGAUGCCUCCACAUACAGGGCCCUGUCCUCAGUGGUGUCUGCUACUCCAUACUGGGGGGUGCCAGGCAGUCUCUGUGGCACAGACUCAGAGUGCAUGGGCCCAGGAACCACGGUGGGUAUGGGGGCUCUGCCAUGCUCAGGAUUUCCACAGAAACACUGUGUGUCUGCCACGCUCCAGUAUGAGCAAGAGUAGGUUGCCCUCUGGAGUGUGGAGUCCAGGGAGAGGAGAACCGCUCCUUCCUUGGAUGCCACCACUGUCACUGCCAACUCUGCUGACCGUCACCAGCAGUGCAGCCCCCAACAGUACCCAACUUGCCCCCCUCCAUGGCUAAUCCUGCCCUCAAUAGCGCCCCCCACCUCCACCCCCCCCCCCAACGCCACCAGCAGCGUAUACCCAAUAGUGCCCUAACCUGUUCUCCUCUAUGGGCACUGCAGCACCAGAGAGCGCCCAUAACACUCCCCCCACCAUGGGCAGUGCAGCCCCAUAUAAUGCUACCAACCAGUACCCCCAAUGCAGGCAGUGACACCCUAGAUAGCACCCCCAACCCACCCCACACUGUGAAAAGUGCAGCCCUGAUAGCCCCUGUCCUACCACUCUGGUCAUGCUGCAGUCUCUGUUACCACCACCACCAGCCACAGUGAGGCAAGCCACUGGGCCGCAGGCUCUAGCCUCCAGCAGCUGGGCAGGGAGCAGCUCUUGCUGAUGGCGGCCUGCUACCACUCCAACCACGCUGCUGUCUCCAUGGCCAUCUUCUUUGACUACAAAAGAAUAAAACUAGGUAUCAAUAAGAAGAGUAAUUUUGGAAACCAUACAGUCACAUGGAAGUUAAACAGUACGCUCCUGAAUGAAUGACUAGUCUUAGUAUCAAUGAAGAUACUAAGAUGGAAAUUGAAAAAUUUCAUGAAACAAAUGGUAAUGAAGACACAAUAUACCAAAACUUAUGAUAUGCCAAAAACAGUACAAAGGAAGAGAUUCAUAGCUGUAAGUGCCUACCAUCCAAACAGAAGAAAAACUUCAAAUAAACCAUACAUCUUAAAGAACUAGUAAAGUAAGAACAAACUAAACCCAA